GUGAUCACUAACGCUGCUGCACUUGUGCUUGUAUCUGGAUUUGUGCUUGGACUCGCUCUGAGGAAGAAACACUGCAGGCAGCGUGCAGAGGCCGGCCGCCGUGGAGUUCCUGCACAUGGGGUUUUCUGCUCUUCGCUGCUUACAACAAAUGGCGAAGCUGAACCAGGGGACUUGUAUGUGAAUCUUCAGCAGCUCUCAGCUGAUGUCCUCCAGAAGUGUGGCAGGAAAACGAAUCCAGGCAGAAACACUAAGGGAAGUAGGACUGGAAGAGACCCUGAUCUAAUCUACAUGAACAUCUGAAUGAAACUCGUCGUCCGUAGAACCAUAUUUCCUGUGAGGGAAUGUAUGUACAGUAACCUUGUGAUAAAAAGAUACUGAUGAUGAACAUGAUUUUCAUGUUCUAUGUUGUAUAAACAUAAUGAAUGUAAAAUGGUUAAAAUGAUUUAUUGCAUUUUCCUGUUCAGUUUACGCUUUGCUGUCAGUUUGUACUCAAAGAACGAUGCAUUUGGGAUUUUCUGCCUUUUAAUAGUAGCUUUUAAAU
rnacentral:lncRNA from 1 species